rnacentral:sRNA from 1 species
GGUGACCGCCUGCGCGGUCA